rnacentral:tRNA from 1 species
GGUGCUGUGGUCUAGUGGUAUGACGUCGCGUUGUGGCCGCGCCAGCCCCGGUUCGACGAUUCCGGGCAGCGCCA